AGCGGAAAGGCCCCUUCGGGGGUACUCGAGCGGCGAACGGGUGAGUAACACGUGAGCAACCUGCCCCUGACUCUGGGAUAAGCCUGGGAAACUGGGUCUAAUACCGGAUAUGACGCAUUCUCGCAUGGGAUGUGUGUGGAAAGUUUUUCGGUUGGGGAUGGGCUCGCGGCCUAUCAGCUUGUUGGUGGGGUGAUGGCCUACCAAGGCGACGACGGGUAACCGGCCUGAGAGGGCGACCGGUCACACUGGGACUGAGACACGGCCCAGACUCCUACGGGAGGCAGCAGUGGGGAAUAUUGCGCAAUGGGCGGAAGCCUGACGCAGCGACGCCGCGUGGGGGAUGACGGCCUUCGGGUUGUAAACCUCUUUCAGCAGGGACGAAGCUAACGUGACGGUACCUGCAGAAGAAGCGCCGGCUAACUACGUGCCAGCAGCCG
rnacentral:rRNA from 1 species